rnacentral:lncRNA from 1 species
AUGCUCCCACUAACAUGAUGAUUAUUAGCAUAACACUUAUGCUCCCACUAGCUUUGACAUGUACUCAGAAAUCAGCUGGACUUCUAGAAAUCAAUACUUCAUUGACUUUCUUACCAAAGUUCAGAUUUCUGAUACUAGAUUGUUUUGAUAAAACUUUAUCAAAAUCAUACACCUUCCCUUAGAUAGCACACUUGUGUGUCUAAACAAUUAUGAAGAGGUAUGCCGUAAUCAUAAUGGUUAGACCUUUUUGCCACUUCUCACAAGUCCAGGUUAGUGUGCCGGUUAACCACACACGCUCCACUAACGACUUUGAGAAUGCAAAUAUCACAAUUGCUAUCUAGAUAAAAUCUACUUAGUGAAAGUGUUUCCUCACCAUCAUUUUCAUGAAUCGGAGAGAAACCUUAUGACACUUAGAUUUAUAUGGUGUAUGAGUUCCUACCAAUAUGAAUUUGUCAAAACCAUAAUCACAAGACAAAGUUAGUGACAAAUCCAAACUCAUACGGAUUGAACUUGUGCAAUCUUAAGUUCUUGCCAUUUGGCAGCACAAGGGCCUGCCAUAGCUUCCAAGUAGCUGUGCAAUCAAUUUGAGGACUCUAAGAGCUCAUAUGCAAAGCUAACUUUAACUGGAAUGGGCACAUGAUUGUCAACACGAUAGGUUAUACACCUCAAGUCGUGUGCUAGUGAAUUCAAUUUGAGGACUCUAAGAGCUCAUAUGCAAAGCUAACUUUAACUGGAAUGGGCACAUGAUUGUCAACACGAUAGGUUAUACACCUCAAGUCGUGUGCUAGUGAAUACUUCAGGUUUUAUUCUUGAUUAGUUCUUGAG